ensembl:ncRNA lncRNA:CR43280 long non-coding RNA:CR43280
CUAUAUAAGUACUAAACAAGACUUAAAAUUCCUCACCCGACUAUUCUUGUACUUGAAGAAAAUCAAUUUACCAUCCUACAACUCCCUAUGACCGCAAGAACAAUCGGUUAACAUUUUGUGAACCGCAUGCCAGGAAUUUUUAUAGAGUAAAGGAGUGUCUGUUGAAUCCUUUUUACCCUCCGACAAAUCAAUUCCACAAAUCAACAUAAUCAACUUCUCGCCAAUAAAAUGGGUUUGGAGCAGUGCUGAAUAAGAGAGAAAGCUGAAAUAAGUGCCGUAAAAAAUGUAAAAACUUUUUUAUAGUUGCUGCAUAAAAAACGUAAAAUAAAAACCCAACCGAAGAAAUCUACGAAAGAAUGCAUAACAAAAGAAAAUCACCUUCGUGGGCGUGCAGGUGAGUGGGCGGGGUACCAAAAAUGAUAUCCCCGCGAUGAUAACCCCGAGAAAUCAGAGGAAAAAUCCAUGAUCUAAUUUGCUAAACACUCGAGCAAAAUCAGCGGGGCUCGCCAAAUCACUUACAUAUACUCGUGUACCUGCAAAACUCACUCACAUUCUCAAAGGCAAAACAAAGAAAAGAAUUGUUUUCGCUUAAAAGAACAUUCAAAUGGAAAUGUUCUGCUUGGCUCAACACAAACAACAAGUGCAGGCGCACACACAAACUGCAUUUAUUUAGUUAGCAAACAAAAUAGAAAAAAAAAGUGAAAAGGAGCAAAGUGGGAUCCAAGGGAAGAAACGCAUCGCAUCGAAAGAGUGGCAUUUGAGUACCCCAGACAGUCAGACAAUGCAUAUAUAUGUAUGUACCACCCAUAUCUAUAGGUAUACGUAUAAAACUGAAGUGCGGCGGGGCAUGUGCAGCACACGAACAACGAAAAAGACGGCAGGAAAAAAUUACAAGGAAGCAGCACCCAGAAGAGCGAGUUUCAAGACGAGAGUGAUGAAAGGAUACCCUAUUCUUAAGGAUAAUAAUUAUGAAGGAAUGCCUUAAUAUGCUUACUCUAGAUUAUCCUUAUCAAUACAGUUUAGCUACUAUCAAGAGUUCGCUCUAAUUGGUAAAUGGAUAAAAACAAAUGGUAUAUUUGGCAAACAC